rnacentral:rRNA from 1 species
GGGCCCGCACAAGCAGUGGAGUAUGUGGUUUAAUUCGAAGCAACGCGAAGAACCUUACCAGGGCUUGACAUCCAACUAAUCCUCCAGAGAUGGAGGAGUGCCCUUCGGGGAAAGUUGAGACAGGUGGUGCAUGGUUGUCGUCAGCUCGUGUCGUGAGAUGUUGGGUUAAGUCCCGCAACGAGCGCAACCCUUACUUUUAGUUGCUACGCAAGAGCACUCUAGAAGGACUGCCGUCGAUAAGGCGGAGGAAGGUGGGGACGACGUCAAAUCAUCAUGCCCCUUAUGUCCUGGGCUACACACGUACUACAAUGGCGAAUAACAGAGGGAAGCAAUAGCGCGAGCAGGAGCAAAACCCUAAAAUUCGUCUCAGUUCAGAUUGCAGGCUGCAACCCGCCUGCAUGAAGUCGGAAUUGCUAGUAAUCGCGAAUCAGCAUGUCGCGGUGAAUACGUUCCCGGGCCUU